UGGGGAAUUUUUCGCAAUGGGGGAAACCCUGACGAAGCAACGCCGCGUGGAGGAUGAAGGCCUUCGGGUCGUAAACUCCUGUCGACCGGGACGAACGCUAUUGGGCCCAAUACGCCCGAUAGUCGACUGUACCGGUGGAGGAAGCCACGGCUAACUCUGUGCCAGCAGCCGCGGUAAUACAGAGGUGGCAAGCGUUGUUCGGAAUUACUGGGCGUAAAGGGCGCGUAGGCGGUCUUGUCAGUCCCUUGUGAAAUCCCCCGGCUCAACUGGGGAACGGCAAGGGAAACAGCAGGGCUUGAGUUCGGGAGAGGGAAGCGGAAUUCCGGGUGUAGCGGUGAAAUGCGUAGAUAUCCGGAGGAACACCGGUGGCGAAGGCGGCUUCCUGGACCGAUACUGACGCUGAGGCGCGAAAGCUAGGGGAGCAAACGGG
rnacentral:rRNA from 1 species